AAGACUUGGCAAUAGUUCCUUCCAUCCCAUUCCUCCUUCUGUUCUCACGCCUCCCAUUCUCAACUAAUUGGCCAAAUCUCUUUCCCGAAGAGAGAACUUUAGGAUUUUCUUGAUUCUUUAAUUGUGUUUGAUGGCGUGGGUACUCAUAGGUGGGCACGAUUUUGUGGGUUUCUGAAGGUGGUGGAUGAUGAUAAUUUUGUAGUGGUGGUUGGAAGCGGUAGUGAUGGCGAUAAUGGUGGAUAACAUCAAUUCUUCUUUGGUUCUUUUAUUUUUGCUGAUAUAAAGAAAGAAGACCAGCAUCAGAGGCUGAAUUUAGGAUGGGUUCUGAAAAAUCUGAUUGGCAAAGAAGGCUGGAGAUGGAGGAACAGACAAGAACUAGUGAACGUUUUGACGGAGAAGGUUGAAAUGAGUGUAAGACGGCAUUUACUGUUGCUGUACUUACAGUUGUUGGAAGAGACUGUACCUUCAUUUUAUUAGGUAGCACAAAAAAGAUAAAGAUCUUAGCAAUAACGACAGUGUUUGAUGGUCUUGGAUGGAGG
rnacentral:lncRNA from 1 species